CGGAGAGGGAGCAUGAGACCCUUUUACGACAUCCAAGGAAGGCAGCAGGCGCGCAAAUUACCCAAUCCCGACACGGGGAGGUAGUGACAAUAUGUAACAAUAUACGGCUUUAUUGUCGUAUAAUUGGAAUGAGUACAAUUUAAAUCCCUUAACAAGGAACAAUUGGAGGGCAAGUCUGGUGCCAGCAGCCGCGGUAAUUCCAGCUCCAAUAGCGUAUAUUAAAGUUGUUGCAGUUAAAAAGCUCGUAGUUGGACCUUGGGCCUGGACGGGCGGUCCGCCUCACGGCGUGUACUGUCUUGCUGGGCCUUUCCUCUUGGUGAUCUGUGGUUUCGGCCGCAGGGUACCAGGACCUUUACUUUGAAAAAAUUAGAGUGUUCAAAGCAGGCUUUACGCCAGAAUAUAUUAGCAUGGAAUAAUAAAAUAGGACGUGCGGUUCUAUUUUGUUGGUUUUUGGGAUCGCCGUAAUGAUUAAUAGGGACAGUCGGGGGCAUUAGUACUCACAUGCUAGAGGUGAAAUUCUUGGAUUUUGUGAAGACUAACUUCUGCGAAAGCAUUUGCCAA
rnacentral:rRNA from 1 species